rnacentral:lncRNA from 1 species
AGGUAAGUUAUUAUUUUUUGUUGAUAAAUGUUAUUAUUUAUGUUACUGUAGAUGUUUUUUUAUUAGGUUGGUUGAUUUUUUUCUGGAGGUAUGUUAUUGUUUUAUUAUGGUAACGUCGCAGUGUGAAAAGUAUGCAUCGCACGCUCAUGGAUGAUAAACAGAGUCGACACUGAACUUUAUUUAUUCAAAAAAAGAAAAAGGAAAAAAUCGAUAAAACCCUUAAAAGAUCACAAAGAUACGGUCGUCGUAACCAAAUUAGACUUGAGAAUCGAUUAUGCAAGGGAAAGGUAUUAGCAC